rnacentral:rRNA from 1 species
GACGAACGCUGGCGGCGUGCCUAAUACAUGCAAGUUGAGCGAUGAAGAUUGGUGCUUGCACCAAUUUGAAGAGCAGCGAACGGGUGAGUAACGCGUGGGGAAUCUGCCUUUGAGCGGGGGACAACAUUUGGAAACGAAUGCUAAUACCGCAUAACAACUUUAAACAUAAGUUUUAAGUUUGAAAGAUGCAAUUGCAUCACUCAAAGAUGAUCCCGCGUUGUAUUAGCUAGUUGGUGAGGUAAAGGCUCACCAAGGCGAUGAUACAUAGCCGACCUGAGAGGGUGAUCGGCCACAUUGGGACUGAGACACGGCCCAAACUCCUACGGGAGGCAGCAGUAGGGAAUCUUCGGCAAUGGACGAAAGUCUGGCCGAGCAACGCCGCGGGAGUGAAGAAGGUUGUCGGAUCGUAAAACUCUGUUGGUAGAGAAGAACGUUGGUGAGAGUGGAAAGCUCAUCAAGUGACGGUAACUACCCAGAAAGGGACGGCUAACUACGUG